GGGGCCGUGGCGGAACUGGCAGACGCAGGGGACUUAAAAUCCCCCGCCGGUCAACCCGGCGUCCCGGUUCGACCCCGGGCGGCCCUA
rnacentral:tRNA from 1 species